rnacentral:rRNA from 1 species
GACGAACGCUGGCGGCGUGCCUAAUACAUGCAAGUAGAACGCACAGUUUAUGCCGUAGCUUGCUACACCAUAGACUGUGAGUUGCGAACGGGUGAGUAACGCGUAGGUAACCUGCCUGGUAGCGGGGGAUAACUAUUGGAAACGAUAGCUAAUACCGCAUAAUAUUGAUUAUUGCAUGAUAAUUGAUUGAAAGAUGCUAUUGCAUCACUACCAGAUGGACCUGCGUUGUAUUAGCUAGUAGGUGAGGUAACGGCUCACCUAGGCGACGAUACAUAGCCGACCUGAGAGGGUGGUCGGCCACACUGGGACUGAGACACGGCCCAGACUCCUACGGGAGGCAGCAGGAGGGAAUCUUCGGCAAUGGACGAAAGUCUGACCGAGCAACGCCGCGGGAGGGAAGAAGGUUGUCGGAUCGUAAAGCUCUGUUGUAAGAGAAGAACGGGUGUGAGAGUGGAAAGUUCACACUGUGACGGUAUCUUACCAGAAAGGGACGGCUAACUACGUG